rnacentral:rRNA from 1 species
CUACGGGAGGCAGCAGUGGGGAAUAUUGCGCAAUGGGCGAAAGCCUGACGCAGCAACGCCGUGUGGGGGAUGAAGGUCUUCGGAUUGUAAACCUCUGUCAGGAGGGAAGAAGUGGUAUUUGUCUAAUAGGCAGGUACUUUGACGGUACCUCCAGAGGAAGCACCGGCUAACUCCGUGCCAGCAGCCGCGGUAAUACGGGAGGGUGCAAGCGUUAUUCGGAAUAACUGGGCGUAAAGCGUGCGUAGGCUGUCUGGUAAGUCAGGUGUGAAAGCCCACGGCUCAACCGUGGAAUUGCAUUUGAACUGCUGGACUAGAAUCCGGGAGAGGGUAGCGGAAUUCCUGGUGUAGGAGUGAAGUCCGUAGAUAUCAGGAGGAACACCGGUGGCGAAGGCGGCUACCUGGUCCGGUAUUGACGCUGAGGUACGAAAGCGUGGGUAGCAAACAGGAUUAGAUACCCGAGUAGUC